GUGGGGAAUAUUGGACAAUGGGCGAAAGCCUGAUCCAGCCAUGCCGCGUGUGUGAAGAAGGUCUUCGGAUUGUAAAGCACUUUAAGUUGGGAGGAAGGGCAGUAAGUUAAUACCUAGCUGUUUUGACGUUACCGACAGAAUAAGCACCGGCUAACUUCGUGCCAGCAGCCGCGGUAAUACGAAGGGUGCAAGCGUUAAUCGGACUUACUGGGCGUAAAGCGCGCGUAGGUGGUUUUGUAAGUUGGAGGUGAAAUCCCCGGGCUCAACCUGGGAACUGCCUCCAAAACUGCAUGACUAGAGUACGGUAGAGGGUAGUGGAAGUUCCUGUGUAGCGGUGAAAUGCGUAGAUAUAGGAAGGAACACCAGUGGCGAAGGCGACUACCUGGACUGAUACUGACACUGAGGUGCGAAAGCGUGGGGAGCAAACAGGAUUAGAAACCCGUGUAGUCC
rnacentral:rRNA from 1 species